ACGGCUCAGUAACACGUGGGUAACCUACUCUCAGGUCGGAGAUAACUCCGGGAAACUGGAGCUAAUAUCCGCUAGAUAUGGGAAUCUGGAAUGAUUCUGUAUCGAAAGUUCCGACGCCUGAGAAUGGGCCUGCGGCUGAUUAGGUAGUUGGUGGGGUAAUGGCCCACCAAGCCUACGAUCGGUACGGGCAGUGAGAGCUGGAGCCCGGAGAUGGGGACUGAGACAAGGCCCCAGGCCCUACGGGGCGCAGCAGGUGCGAAAACUCGCCAAUGCUCGAAAGAGUGAGCGGGGAACCCCAAGUGCCCUUGUAUUGCAAGGGCUUUUAUUUGGUGUUAGGAGCCAGAGGAAUAAGGGCUGGGUAAGACUGGUGCCAGCCGCCGCGGUAACACCAGCAGCCCGAGUGGUCGCCGUUUUUAUUGGGCUUAAAGCGUCCGUAGCCGGAUAGAUUAGUCUCUAGGUAAAUCUUACGUUCAAGCGUAAGCCUUCUAGAGAUACUGUCUAUCUUGAGGCCGGGAGAGGUUGGAGGUACUCCCGGGGUAGGGGUAAAAUCCUGUAAUCCUGGGGGGACCACCGGUGGCGAAGGCGUCCAACUGGAACGGGCCUGACGGUGAGGGACGAAACCCAGGGGAGCGAGCCGGAUUAGAUACCCGGGUAGUCCUGGGCGUAAAUCAUGCGGACUAGGUGUGGGGAUAUCCACGAGAUAUCUCUGUGCCGAAGGGAAGCCAUUAAGUCCGCCGCCUGGGGAGUACGGCCGCAAGGCUGAAACUUAAAGGAAUUGGCGGGGGAGCACCACAAGGGGUGGAGGCUGCGGUUUAAUUGGAUUCAACGCCGGG
rnacentral:rRNA from 1 species